UUUUGUAGCAAUACAGAAGAAGCGAUAGCGGCAGACGGGUGAGUAACACGUAACCAAUCUACCUUACCGUCCGGGAUAACUAGCCGAAAGGUUAGCUAAUACCUGAUACGCCUAUCGAACGGCAUCGUUUGAUAGUGAAAGCAGCAAUGCGCGGUUUGAGGAGGUUGCGGCCCAUUAGCCAGUUGGCGGGGUAACGGCCCACCAAAGCAACGAUGGGUAGCUGGUCUGAGAGGACGACCAGCCACACUGGGACUGAGACACGGCCCAGACUCCUACGGGAGGCAGCAGUGAGGAAUUUUCCGCAAUGGGCGAAAGCCUGACGGAGCGACGCCGCGUGCACGAGGAAGGUCUUCGGA
rnacentral:rRNA from 1 species